AUCGAGAGAGAGAGAGAGAGAGAGAGAGAGAGAGAGAGAGAGGGAGAGCGAGAGAGAGCGAGAGAGAGAGAGAGAGAGAGAGGGAGGGAGAGAGAGAAAGCAAAAAAAAGGGUGAUAAAGGCUCCCUCAGAACUAGCGCACCUCCCCCUCCAAGGAGAAGAAGAGCGAACGGCAGACAACUCACACACACCGCAGGCUGGAUUGGAAUGUAGGAACCGUCAGCCCAAGAUGGAAAAAUCUUCUUGACCCCUCUUCCACCGCCUGAGAUGUGGAGCGGAAGUUGGCUGCUGUCUUUGGUUAUCUAGCUGUAUGAGUAUUGAUGAUCUAUCAUAAAGCUAGAUAACCGAAAGUAGAAUCCACUUCCACAGCUUCGAGGAGAGCAAGAGCGAACAAAAGAUGACCAAAUGCAAAGAGUCAGAAAAGAAAACUCGUGGUCACAGUCAUCAGGUCGACUGGAGACAAUACCAUUAAAACAGGCCGCGAAGCGACACUUACUGAAGGAAACUUGAAAAGACUGGAGGGGCGGCAGUGGUGACCCUUAAUCAUAAAUACAAAUGACAUCGCUCAUCAUUACAUCGGCACAUCUUUCGAUAAGAAAAAAAAAGCCUUGAAGUCCUCUCUGAAGACUGCGAUUUGUUUUGUUUUCCCGAUGAGGCAGCACUUCUGAAGACGUGAAGCUGCCGCUUUGGGCUAUGCAGAGCACCAUGCUGGAAGGCAAGGGGAUGACCACCUGAAUGGCCAACUGGAAGCCAUUUUGUGAGAAAGAGAGAGUGCUCUUUGCUCAGCAGCCAUCUUGAGGGUGGGUGGGCUGCAGUUUCUAAAAUGGACGUAACGCCACUCACUGUGGCAUAAGAUUUCCCAUCACGGAGUUACCGGAAGAGCUCUCCGUACCAUGAGUGGCUAGCCUCAUGACAACAGACUUAAGAGGAAUCAUCCUAAAGCACAGUUUGCGUGGCUACAAUACGCACGUUGCAAAAGCCUGAAGUCUUGGAGAUAAGAUAGAAGACCUGUCAUCCUGGAGAAAGUUGGAAUGUAUUGCGAGCCUUUGCACUCUAGGUCCGUUGGUCAGCGAAAUGAGCUUUGAUGGAAACUUGAAGCAUCGACGUCUGUUAACGCCGGUUAUAUCGGUGUUUUGAUCAUUGGAACUUUGUUAGGGAAGAACCUUGAAUUUUCAGGCAAUAUAUACUUUAAUGUUAUUGAAUCAAGUUACUUUCCCUCAAUCUUCUUUUUCCUGCAUAGGGAUGAGUUGAGAUCAAGUUUACAGACACGCAAAGAUUUGCGUGUGUGGUGGGGCUAGUUUGGAAAUGGUCAGGUUAUACACUCUCAGCAAAAGACACAGGAUAGGAACUGACUUCCGGACCAAAACAAAGUCAGAAGCAAAUGUUCCUAAUAAAUUUAAUGAGCCAAAUUGGUCUAAUGAGGAGACGAUUUUUAAACAUUUGGUUUUGGACCUUUGGCGUGGAUGGAUUUCAGAGCACCCUCUAUUGAAGUUUAUUUUAUAUAUGAAUUUGGGUAUAUGAUGUGAAUUUUAUUUUAGAAAACUGAGUAUGCUUUGUGACUUUAUUAAGAGGAGUUAACUUUUAACCUGCAAUAAAUUCGUAUGAAUUGUUAGAAAUUGCUUAUGAAAAAUUAUUGUGGUCUAUGGGCGGAUUCUGCUGUUAAGUUGCUAGAUAGUUCAAUUUACCUAUAAAUUUUACUUUCUGAGCGCAAACAGCGAUUCUGGUACAAAGUGUGUCCAAAUUUGCGUCCAAUUUAACUGUGAAAACCUCCUCUCCACCCACCCCAAGUGAUUUAUAUUUCUACUCACGCUUAACCUGUCAUGAACCAAGGCAAUUUUAAAAUGUGCUCUUUAGAAAAUUAUUUUAAAACAUUCCUUGUUAUUUUUAAGAGCAACUUGGUAACAUUUGAUUAAUGUAGGUAAAAUAGGUUUAAAGUAAGCAUUUUAAAUCAGUGUCACUCCACCAUCAGUGAAAUUACAGAACGAAAUUACAGAUAAUGACUUUUUAAAAAUAUAUAGAACCAUUUCUUCGUUAUAUUAGGGUACAGUAAUCAUCUCCCUUUUUUCUUACUGUUAAAGAAAUGUUCAACCAUAACUAUUAGAGGAGAACCCAAAAGGUCCAGUUAAUUUUGGAACCACCUGGAAAGCUUGCAGUUGAGAACAAUUAGCUGAAACUCCCAAUAGGGGUAAUUCACCUUCGGGGUAUGACCAGUGUGUGGGUGGGGCAGAAUCUAGCUGGUUUUUAAAAGACUUGGCAAACGAAACGUGAUUCGUGCUUCAUAUCUCACGGUCCAUUGCGUCAGUUACGUUAAUGUUGGCGGAAUUACACCGAAGAGACUGUAAACAGAGUCUGCAUGAUGUUGCGACGGACGCCACAUUCAUGAAUAAACGUGUCAUCACACAGAGUGGGCUGGUUGGGGCCAACGUCACACCGCAUUCCCCCUCCCCCAUCACUCCGACCCUCUUUCCCACACCCCACAAAACCCCCUAAUCUAGAAGUGCGGGUGCAAUUGAUUCAGAAUUUCAAGGGAUAUGAACAUCCAUUCACUGAGUAGGAAUCUCCACUGGCUAUAGAUGCAACCUAUACAAUUCUGUUCUAUUUACCUAUCGAAGUUUAUCACAGUGAAUAAGUUUCAAAUCUGGAACAAUUCUGGAUUUAUGUUGCUCGAGAAUGAAUGGAAAUUGAGCAAGAACUAAAUAUUAAGAUGUUUCUCAUAGGACUGGUUUUAAAAUCUACGUUACUCGCAUUCUUCUUCAUCAUUUUUUUGAAAAAAUGGAAGGUCUGAAGCCGAAACGUCGACUGUCCAUUUCACCCCACAGAUGCUGCUCGACCCACUAAGUUUCUCCAGCUGUUAGUGUUUUGCUCCAGAUUCCAGCAUCUGCAGUCUCUUGUGUCUCCGUGGUUCGUAAUUAAAUUCGGUUCCUAUAAGCAAUAAAGAAUAAAAUAACAGUUAGGCUACUACAAUUAGGGAAGUAUUAAAAAGGACAACAUAUGUGUAACUCCUAGAAUUAAACUUGUAUGUUACUGAUGCCGAGAAAGAGCUUAUAUUUUUCCUCGAUUUAUGGUUCCAUGUCAUACUUCCUAAUGCUGAACGACACUUAAUUCUUUCACGUGUUUCCAGUGAGUAAGCUGCUAAUUUCGUGGUGUAAUUAACAAUGCAGUGUGUGAAUUGUUGUCUGGGAAUUAUUAUGUUAAAAUAAUGUGAAGAUUUUCUGACGACUUGGAACUGAUUUAUUAUAGUGUGUGCAUAUUUUGCGACUAUAUUUGCUGGAAAUACUUCACGCACACAGUAGAAGAAGGCGGGGUUCUUCGUGAAAGUAAGAAAUUUGAAGCUUUAAUUAGAACUGUUUGAUGUCUGAUAUUGGGGUUGGCGAACUUUUGGUCUCAUGCUAGACUCAAUCCUAGUUCUGGAGGGUUUACUGAUGAAUGGACCAAAAUUUCAUAAUUUUUUAAAGAACAUGCACAUAUUGUAUUUAUUAAAUGAGUAUGUUCAUCAUGCUUAAUAUGCAGUUUAUUUGGUAUAAUAAUUCUUGUUGUGCGUUUCUGUA